rnacentral:tRNA from 1 species
GCCUGGGUGGCUCAGUCGGUUAAGCAUCUGACUUCGGUUCAGGUCAUGAUCUCAUGGUUCGUGAGUUCAAGCCUCACGUUGGGCU